rnacentral:ncRNA from 1 species
AAUCAUGACUUCCUUCGAUUGGGGGAUACGGUUGGCUUUGAUAAUGGGCCUUGAUCAGAUAAAAUGGUAUUAUGUAAGUUGCAUUUACAGAGUAUACAACGAAAUUCGGUAUCGGCACUAUAUCAGUUACCUAAAGAGUGUACCAGCAGGGGCGGAUAGACUCUCUAACUUUGUCUUCUAAAUGUGUCAUUCCUGCGAUUGCAUCUUGUAUAAAAUUCGUUUGAUUGUAUUUACAACUGUGCAGUGCAAUGUGGCAGUUCUUUUAUAAUUCUGACGUGGGAAAUAAGAUUGGAUAACGGACCCGGAUUAGUACCCGGUUACGCCAAAUUAAUAAGGUUUCAGGAGUAAAGUAAUAUUUAAACUGGAAGUAUAUUGGGGGUAUCCACAAUCAUCCUUGGAGCUUGAGUAGUAAUCGAGAUCCCUCGUUAUCAGCUUAGACUAUGGUCGCAUGUAUGUUCGUCAAAGGUGCUCGUUAAAGGUGUUGCCGCAAGAGAUGGUUCUCUAGGAGGACAGAUAAAUACCUGGUAAAUGUCUAAGUGUGUAAUUUGAGCUACAAUGCCGGAGGGCUGGUUGUUCGGAGCGGCUGGAGAGAUUCGGCGCGUGAAGGUGUAAAGGACAGUAAAGCGCUAUUUAAUGGGUGCUUGAAGUAUAGCAUACCGUGGAUAACUACAAAUCAUCCAUCAAUUGCCCACAGGGGAGUAAGUUGUAGUAAAGUAGGUGUAGGGGAACCUGUACCUAGUAGG